AAGAAAGCCAAACAGACCAAAAACCAGACCAAAGCCACAGGGUUUGGGAAGAAUGGGAGUUGAAUUUCUUCAGCAUCUGGAAUUGGCAUUUCCUAAGAUCCUACAGAAGGAUGCUCUCCCCGCAUUCCCCUGGUAAACCGAGUGGGUAACAGCAACAGGCAACUAUCAAAAAGGCUGAAAAUGAGAGAAGGUGCUUAGAGAUGCCACAGUUACACAACAUUUACCCACCGAAUGCUGCAGAAGGAUGUCAGAUCACAUCUGUCGGGCACAGCCGAGGUGCAGGCAGGUCUCAUCCGACUGCCCUUCUGCUGGUUGCCUCCAGCACAGAGGUGGGUAGACAGCUGGACUCAGUCUGCUAGAGUUCAUCUGGCCAAGCUCUGAGCUGCAGAAAAAGUCCACGAAGAGCAGGACACUGACAAAUGAGCAACGAGGACAUCAAAACCCAGCAGCUAGCCACCUCAAAGCCUUGUGCCAUGGACUUUGGAGAUGUGGGAAGCAGCUAACACGCCUCAGAUGCCUGUGAAGGAUAAGGUAGGCAGUAUGGGUGGAGUGUGGCUGUUUCAAGCUAAGCCAUUCCUGCUCAUCAGAAACCUAAAGUCAGCCCUAUCAUUACUGCAUUUUGGAAUGUGCCCUUGGUCUUUAAACAGCCCUCUCUCACAAAUUGGUUGUUGAAAGCUAUUAGAUAAAUUAUGCAUGGAUUUCGGGGGUAAUACUGAGCUGAUUUUGUGUCCCACAACUUAAUCAAGUUCUUCUGGUUGUGGUAGUAAGAAACCAAAGCCGAAAAUCCAGGUCACUUGACUGACCUUUGAUUCUCUGUGUUCUGUGUCUCAGGCCUUGUGGGGCUGGGCUGCUCUUUGCACCUUCUGGCAAUGAUAAGUUUCUCUCUUUAGAAAUGGAGGAUUCCCUGUUUUGUUAUCAAAGAGCUAGUGAUGUUUUCCCUUAAGGCAGGACUAAAUU